CCUGGCGCCAAAUGCGGUUCUGUGCGAGUGAAAUCGUUAGUCCUGUUACGAAGAAAUGGGUUCACGAAGUCAGGUAGGCCUCUAGUCGACUGUUGACUGACAAGGAAUGUUCUUGUCAUCAACUGCUCUGAUUUGUUUUUACACAGUCAUGGUCACCAGCAAAUUAGGCUGGUCUAGUGAGAAGGAUGGCGAGGCCUAAGGACUGGGGUUAUGAUGGGUCGGCGCAGUUUCGUCUUUUGAGUUUCUGGGUGAGAGUUGAAAGACAGCCGACCACGACGGCCACAUUGGGGAUAUCACGAAUGACAUGUCGAAAAUGUUGCCUGAGUGUGUCCUCGAGAGCCGAUGGGGCCUUACAACUGAACUAUUACGUGCUCUACCUCUACCCGGUUUUAAGAACAGAUUUUCACACGAGAGCGCAGGUGAAGACACAAGUAGGGAUAUCGCUUCAGAACCCCACGUGCACUUCCUGAUCACCACAUACCACAAUUCCAUUUGAAACCAAACUCGCCACCCAAACUAUCGGACAGUCAUCUCGGCUGCUGCAGAGAAGCCACACCAGAGGAGGGAUGGUUAUAUCGACGAUACUGAACUUCAUAUACCCGCCGCCUCCGUCGCUGUUCACGACGGCCAUGUCGGCAAUGAGCGCUGCCUCCCUGGCCAAUGCGGGCUUGUCGGAGGCGAGAGGAGUUCACCUGCAGUACUCCAAGUUCACGCUCACACCCAACAAGAAGGUCCCGAGCCGGACCGGGAUGUUGGUCCUCUACUCGCCGGCUUUCCUCGCGGGCCUCGCUUCCUUCUUCUUCUUCCCCGACGAGGGCCUCAGGUUCCUGAUCCUACGAUCAGCCGUAUCCCUCCAUUUCUUCAAGAGAAUUCUCGAGGUCUUGUGCGUUCACAAGUUUAGCGGAGGAAUGGGUGUGGACUCCAUGGUGGUCAUCUCUCUCAGCUACUUCCUCUCGACCGUGACAUUGAUCUACUCGCAACACCUGUCCCAGGGUCUGCCCGAGCCCCCGGUCAACCUGCUCUAUCCGGGAGUAGCACUAUUCCUGGUCGGGAUAGCCGGCAACUUGUACCACCAUAUCCUCCUCUCCAGACUUAGGCAAGAGGGUGACAGAGAGUACAAGAUCCCCAAGGGUGGUCUGUUUGGCCGGGUCAUUUGCCCACACUACUUGUUUGAGGUCAUAGAGUUUGUGGGAAUUUCAUUCAUUUCCCAGACAGUUUAUUCUUGUUCCUGGACUCUGGGCAUAUUUUUCUACUUCCUGGGCAGGAGUUACGCCACCAGGAGAUGGUACACUUCCAAGUUUGAGGAUUUUCCUGAAGAUGUCAAGUCUCUUCUUCCAUUCAUUUUCUGAAUUGAAGAGAGUGGUGAUUGGAAGGACACUCGUACAAUGGAUUAUUGUUAACAGAAAGAGUCGUAUACAGGCUAAUAUCUGAUGUUUCAUUCGAGUAAGGAUAGAAUCUCUGGGAAAUGCGUUGUUGGGAGUGCGCUUAAUGAUUGAUUAACCAUCUCAUGGUUUACUGGUUGCUUUGUUCCUGGAAUUUCCUUUAAGCUGAGCUGAUCUUUAUUUCUGAGGAUGGAGCGAUUGAGUAUGUUUGUGCUCCGUCAGAUUACAUGUUGUGCGUAUGAUGAGUUUGCGGGUGAAAAUACUGGAUCGGCUUGAUGGUGCUGCACGCCUCAUGAUAGUAGUGGAUCUUGACUUCACCAUGGUAGGUAUAAUGCAAUGUGGUGGGACUCUACUGGAAGGUCACCAACAAGUUACAAGCAGUUGAAAAUCAAGUAGUUCUUACUGACUCCUGAUGUCAUGAUUAUGUCUGUGGGAACUGAAAUCAUGUAUGGUGAGUCAAUGGUACUGGAUGAUGAAUGGGAGUGUGAUCUGAAUCAGAAAUAGAACCGCGAUGUAGUCACAAGAGAAACAGCAAAAUUUCCUGAACUUCUUCUGAGGUGCGUAUUGUAGCUCAAAUUUUUUAGUUUGCUGCUCUUUUCAAUGUGUAUUGAAAGAUCUGGGUGGGAUGAUACCACAGUAAACAUCAUUGCAAUGGAGCUCUGGUUCUAUUCAUUGUGAAAUGCUUCUA